UGGGGGAUAUUGCACAAUGGGCGCAAGCCUGAUGCAGCGACGCCGCGUGGGGGAUGAAGGCCUUCGGGUUGUAAACUUCUUUUGCUCUGAACAAGGCGCACUUUGGGGUGUGUUGAGUGUAGGGGUUGAUUAGCGCCGGCUAACUACGUGCCAGCAGCCGCGGUAAUACGACGGGCGCGAGCGUUGUCCGGCAUUAUUGGGCGUAAAGGGCUUGUAGGUGGCUGGUUGCGUCUGUCGUGAAAGCUCAUGGCUUAACUGUGGGUUUGCGGUGGGUACGGGCUGGCUUGAGUGCAGUAGGGGAGGCUGGAAUUCCGGGUGUAGCGGUGGAAUGCGCAGAUAUCAGGAGGAAUACCGGUGGCGAAGGCGGGUCUCUGGGCUGUUACUGACACUGAGGAGCGAAAGCAUGGGGAGCGAACAGG
rnacentral:rRNA from 1 species